rnacentral:lncRNA from 1 species
GUCUCUAGACGUUACAAAGAACCCCGAACAAUCCAAUCUGCUAAUCUCCGAUACCGCUUUAUACUCAUGACCUUGUAUCCACUGACUGUCUUGUUAGAUUAACCCAAAAAUUUUCAUUCACUCCACAUACUCAAUCCUAUAGACACCCUUUUAAUUCUUCAAUCACAGACGUAACUUCGAUUUCACAAAACAGUCAAGAGUAAUCACACCCACUUCAUUAAAACCUCGAUUCACCAGUAUAAUACAUCGACCUUUCAGCAUUGAUUGCUAGAAGUCCCUUUUCU